CGCAUGCGCACCACCCUCUUUCUCAAGCUUGCUUUUUCUUCGCCAUGUGGCCUGGUUCAGCCGCAUUUUUGUCCAAAAAUCAGAUACGUUGAUGUGGCAGUGCAAAUUGUGCAAAAAAAGUGGUGUCAUCACGAGCUCUGUUAUUAAAACACUACAGAGUAACAGUUGGAGAUUGGGACAUCAGAAAUGACAGCCCCAACAAAGCUUCUGAUAAUCCUGGGGGAGAACAACGCACUCAAGUUAACCCUUCCUUUGGGGAUACCAAAGAAUGUUAACGAGCUCAAAGCGGAGAUUGAAAAUCAGUGCGGAGUUUCUGAACAGUUCAGAUUGCAGUACAUGGACACAGAUUUUAAUCAGUUCCUUAACCUGACAUCCACAUUUGAUCUAAAAGACAUGGACAAAAUAAAAGUGAUUAAAACAGGUGUACCAGAAACAUCCACUGGUAGUAAUGAAAGCAGUGUGUCCUCAUUUAACUUGGGUAGCCCCUGCU
ensembl:lncRNA